rnacentral:rRNA from 1 species
AUUGAACGCUGGCGGCAGGCCUAACACAUGCAAGUCGAGCGGAGCGGCGGACGGGUACGUGAUGCCUAGGAAUCUGCCUGUUAGUGGGAGAUAACGUCCGGAAACGGGCGCUAAUACCGCAUACUAUCAGAUGAGCCUCGGUCGGAUUAGCUAGUUGGUGGGGUAAAGGCCUACCAAGGCGACGAUCCGUAACUGGUCUGAGAGGAUGAUCAGGCACACUGGAACUGAGACACGGUCCAGACUCCUACGGGAGGCAGCAGUGGGGAAUAUUGGACAAUGGGCGAAAGCCUGAUCCAGCCAUGCCGCGUGUGUGAAGAAGGUCUUCGGAUUGUAAAGUACUUUAAGUUGGGAAGCGUUACCAACAGAAUAAGCACCGGCUAACUACGUGCCAGCAGCCGCGGUAAUUC